UCCCUGGUGGUCCAGUGGUUAAGACUCUGCAUUUCCAGGGCAGGGGGCACAGGUUCAAUUUCUGGUCAGGGAA
rnacentral:tRNA from 1 species